UUGCUUCGAGCGCCAUCUGUGACACGCAAAUAAAAAAAAACAUUUCAGUUAACAGUUAUUUUUCGACAUUGUGAUCUAGUGGCGCUUAUAAUUAGUGAGAGUACAAACUCUUUAAAUACUGACGUGCUGAUAUUGUAAAGCAGUUUUAAUGUCAGCAACAAAUUUCAUUCAAUUUAAUAGGAUAAAUACUGAAACAAAUUUCCGUGUCAAGUCAAAGAAUGUCUUCAAACGCUUCGUUUUUCUCUAAUGUAAGCAAAUUUUGUGAUAAAGUAACAUAUUGUAGUGAUACAUGUUUGUGUAUAACAUAUAGCUUAUGCUUUGUUGUUCCAGGUGUCGUACAGACGAGUCGAGAGAGAUUGAACUGCCGCUUAAUGAAGACGGGAAAGCAUCUAUGGAUGAAAUUCUUUCCACCGUAGCGAUUGAUUGAAAUAAGUUCGGUUUUUACGAUGAUUCGCUGCUCGACCAUUAGUUGAUUUUCAUUAUAUUUGCCCGUCAACGCUUACGUCCAUUUCGGCUUCGGUGUCACUGGCAUCGCAGCCGUCGUAGGUCUGACCAUCGGCUUGGCGCUCUACUUCAACGAUUGCGUCGAACUCGCCUACUACGUCAUCAUUAUCUCAGGGUUCAUAUUGUUGUUAGUAGUGGUUGGAGUCUCGAUUUCAGUGCGGUGUCUGCUUACGAGGCCGCAAGUUUCUGCCAGACAUUCAGGAACUUCACGUUUGAAUUUGGACCCUCCGCCUCCAUACCAGAAAAGUUGGGGCAAGGAAUACUAUCGACAACAAAGCGACGAAGCUAGAAGUUCUCACUCUUCUGACAUAGCUUCCGAAAAUAAUUCAAACCAAAUAUUCCACAUCUCCACCUCAACACUUACCGAAGGAAACAAACCGCAAGACUUUCAACAAGUUUUACAAGAUUUGGAAGCAGGUGAUAAUGAAUUACCGAACUACGAAGAAGCCAUUCGACAGCUUAGUGUUUCUGAACUAGACAAAGUUGCCUAUCAUUCUGAGAAAACCUCAUCGAAUUAUCACUUUUCUCUUACCCCACAUUUUUCCUGGUCACAAACUUUGCAUUUGAACAGUCAAGAACCAGUUUCUUACUCGAGUAACAAUUCUAGUGACAUUAGUGCAGUAGCCUCACAGUCGAUUAGUUUCCCACGCAAAAAUGAUACAAAAUCUUUCAGAAUCAAGUGCCGUUUAGCAGCUGAAAAUUUGACCGCUCCCGUGCAUUGUUCUCGCUCGUGAAAAUGACUUGUAAAUCCUUCCUUCGUUCGAGCUUCAGUAGGGCUUUACAUAUGUAGAAUAGAAGUCUUAAUAUUUAGUUUAUACUUUAUUUGUAUAGGAUUACAAAAAUGCGUUUUUUCAUUGGAGUUAAAUUCAUAGAUGAUUAUAUUGAUAAUAGGCCUCAUUUUUCUGGUACAUAUGUGAAUAUGUUAAUUAUAUUGAAUAAAUC